CCUGGCGGCCUUAGCGCGGUGGUCCCACCUGAUUCCAUGCCGAACUCAGAAGUGAAACGCCGUAGCGCCGAUGGUAGUGUGGGGUCUCCCCAUGCGAGAGUAGGGAACUGCCAGGC
rnacentral:rRNA from 1 species